rnacentral:rRNA from 1 species
UACGAGGGGGCUAGCGUUGUUCGGAAUUACUGGGCGUAAAGCGCACGUAGGCGGCUUUGUAAGUUAGAGGUGAAAGCCUGAUGCUCAACAUCAGAAUUGCCUUUAAGACUGCAUCGCUUGAACGUCGGAGAGGUGAGUGGAAUUCCGAGUGUAGAGGUGAAAUUCGUAGAUAUUCGGAAGAACACCAGUGGCGAAGGCGGCUCACUGGACGACUGUUGACGCUGAGGUGCGAAAGCGUGGGGAGCAAACAGG